AGGACCGAGCCCGGUUCAUCGGCUAAGCAAUGCCAAGCUUCCCUCCACCGUGCCGACCACGGCUGCUGUUGACACAGAAAGCUGCUUUUGUGGCACCAGCAUCAGCCUCUGGCUGGAGACGAGCUCAGCUGAAGCUGACGCUGAGUAGGUGAUGCUGGAGACUGAUCUGUGAAUGCUGUGCUUCUAGGAGGUCCUUUCUAAUGCUCCGGUGUUUUCUUCUUCCCAAACGCUGUGGGAGAUCCAAACAGCCAUGGCAGCAAAAUGUUCCCAUAGGAAAUUAGCCAGAAGACUGUACUUCGGAAGUGGACUGCUGUGAUGAGUUUACCAGAUGCACUUUAACUGGAAUUCAUUGCACCUAAGAAUCAAUCUACAGACCAGGAAAAAGCUUCAGCUGGCAGAGGAUGCAUCAGCCUGUCUACCUAGAUGGUGGUCGCGCCAUCCUUAGAAGUGAUCGUAUCCAGGAGGCAUCCUCCACAGUCCAGGGAUGGCGUUGGGAAGUCAUGAGGGGAUGAUGGAGAGGAGAGGAUGAUCGAGGUACAGGAAACUUUUCUAGAUGAUUUGAAAGGUUUCUUUGUCUUUGAAAUGUGUACAACCAGAAGUAACCACGAGGCGGGAGGUGAAAGCUGAAACUGCUACGCUAAAGCCUGGCCCAGUCCAACGUCGGGGACAGCCUCUGAUGUUGGCAGCGAUGUAUGAACCAUCACCGCUGUUCCUUUGCCUUGCAAUAGGGCUGCGACACAAACCCUGUUGGGCUGGGCACUUCACCGGUGCAGAGCAAAAACCUGCCCCUGCCACAAAGAGGUCUCAGGCUCACAAGGUGCACAUUGGCGUUAGCCCAGCCAUGACCGCAUGAAGCAAACUAUUGUUUCUGUCACCGCUGGGAGAAGACAUGUUUCUCAUUCACAAGGAGCACUUUGGGGAUCAAAGACAGAAGCAUGUGAUGGGCACGUGAGCAACGGCACUGGCGGACAUGCAGACACCGGGGCAUCUCGCUGGCUGUUUAGCUGAAGCUGCUGCCUUCCCCAUUCAUGUGUGAGCACACAUCUUCUCUCCACUGGUCCUCCUCAUCUCAUCUCCAGCAGGUUUUUAUUCUCAUGCUUCUUUUGAAGCAAACCCAGAGGUUUCAUUGUCAAAGGAUGGUGUUUGAUGGAUGAAUCCCUCUCUUUUACCUUGCCUGAUGGGGAGGGUACAGGGCAAACUCAGUGUUUUUAAUGAUAAAUGCCACUUUCUUGAAGAGAAACAACCAAUCCAAAUGGUUUAGCAGCCCAUUUGGAUGGUCUGCCCAGGGGAGAGGGUGUCAUCAGAUUGAACUUGGUGUUACGCUGCCGUUUUACGUUCAGUUUGUUGCAGAGGCUGACUCAGAGCUCGGCACAGCUGCAGGCUUGUGCUAAGGCUCUUCCCCUGCUGCCUCCUAAAGCUUGUGGGUUAGAGGGACCUACACAUCAUUCGGCUUUUGGGUGUACGUGCCUGGGGCUUGGCAGGGUCUCAGGGUGCGGCACAACCACAGCCCGGGGGAGUUCAUGUCUCACUGGAGAAUUUCUUCUUCGUUUGGGGCAUUAUGGCAGAGAUUUUCUUCUUGCAAAGGCCCCAGCUCUGAGACAAUCACUGUCCUUGCUGCAGGGAAAUUAAUAGGGUGUCCAGGGGCAAAGGUAAAACUAAACUACAUAAGUAAAUGUUUGCAGGAUCAGGACCUUAUUCAGGCAUAAAUCAGGUAGCUCCAGCCAACAAUAGAAUUACCUAAGUAUAAAAUCCCAUGUAAGCCAGUAAGAUCAGCUCCAAACCUGCUAUGAAUUUGCUUUUUGUUUCCAUGCCAAGAAUAUAUCACUUCUAACUGCUUGCAAUCAGGUCUGGUCCUUUUUAUUAUUUUUUUUAAGUGCUUUUGGGCACAUUUAUUUCCCGUCACCAGCAGAUACACAUGGAGCCUGACCCUCCUUUUCUCAGGCAUGCCCCAGCCUGCUUCGCCCACAAUAAGUUGUCGCUAUCAGGGGCUGUAUUUUUUUCUUUCCUUGCCUUUUCUGUUACUGCAUUCAGUAAACAAAGGGACAGCAGUGACAAUCCAAAACCGUUCUUUGUAUUUGCCUGGGAACAGAGUCAACUAUUUGUUGGUCUUCUGUUGUUGGUUUUUUUUUUCCUUUUUUAACUGGUGACCGUUUAAAUGGCUACUGGUACCUGCGGUGCCGCAUAUACUGGUGUUGCAGGAUUUGUUACCAGAUGGCCCUGGGCAGUCACGGAGGAGGACAGGGAACUGCAAGUGGGAAGUAUGAAAGGGCACGGUGGUCCCUACUGCCUCCUGGAGAAUGUGGGAAUAGCCUGCAGGGUUUUCCUGGUCCUCGUACGUGCCUCAGUUUCCCCAGUUCUCAGCGCACUGUUUCGAGAUGGUGCCCCAACACAAGGUCUGGUGAUGUUUGCACCCGGUUGAGCUGGGAGGAGACCGGUUCUUGUAAAUGAGCUUGGGCAAAACACCUGGGAGAAGGAAGGCAGUGAGGGACGGUAGAGAGAGAAGGAAGCCGAAGGCUCUUUUAGCUCAAGGGCAAACUUUUAUUGCCCUCUCCAUCCAUGUGCAGCAGCAGUGAAGGCAGCUCCUGGUGCGGUCUCUUCCUGGCAGACACCAGGAGAAGUGUCCCCAUUCCCAUCCCUGCCUGUCCCUCCAGCUACAGCCCAUGGAAGGGUGCUCCAAAAGCCUGGGCCGAGCCUCCCCUGCCCCGUCACACCGGGACACAGCAGACCCCGGGACAGCAGCUGUGAGGAACAGGUACGCAUUUUCCAGGUGACAUUUAGGCUCUUAAAUUAUUUUUGAAAAUGGCCCAGAGGGUCCUAAUUUAUAUGCUGUAGAAAAUACUGCCUGUGACCUGCUUUGCCGUGAACGCUCCGCUUAGUGGGUUUUUUAUAGGCUUUGCCUUCUCAGUCUUGUGUCUUGAAGCAGAAGCGAAAUCCACCAGGUAACUGCAGCUGCUGUUCCCACCGUUGUGUUGUCCUCGUGGCACACCUCUGCCAUAAUGGCAGCUCGGUAUCUCGGCUAUGUCUGAAAUGGGAGUCCUUCUCUAACGCCACGGAGGGGAUGGCUGGCUGGCAGGGAAAAUAAAUCACCCUGAGCUGACGUCCUUUAGAAACCAUUAUUUCAAUAGACCACAAAAAUGAAGAAGUGCUGGGGUGAAGCCAGGCGUGACUCACAAACGGCCGCGCUGGAGUGUUCACCCGGGCAGCCGGGACCCAUGUGCGGGGCUCGGUUACACCGGUCCCGACAGAGUGGCUCCCAGGCGGCAUCCACGGCACAGCACCCUCCUCGCUUCUCUCCAGGCUGUUUCAGGGAACCUUUUGCAGUGAUUUCCACUUGCACCAUCCAGCGUGGGAAUGGGCAGGGAGGGCAGUUCUGUGCUGCAGGUUUUUUGGUGGUUAGUUUUGUUCAGCUCUGGAGCAAAACCCAAGCCUUGCGAGUGACCAUGCAGUACGAAAGCAUCCUCUCGCAGCUCCAGAGCAGUGCUUUUCCCUGUGCGUUGGGCGCUGACGUGGGCUGGGGACACCGUGGUGCCUUCAGAGCCGUUUGUCACCCCUGGGGGUUGAGGAGCAGGGGCGGGAGCUGCUCCCCUGCCUCCGCCAGCCGUAACCGCCGUGCUGCAAACCAGAAGCCCCUGCAGCAAAACGUCCUCGGGAGCCAUAUGGCAUCUCGGAGGCUUUGAUCGAGUUGAAUGAAACCCAGAGCAGCCCGGCAGGUUGCACUGUGAGCCGUGGCGAGCCUGGGGGGGGCCUGUCCUACCCUGCUUGGGGCAUGCAGGCUGCCAGCCCGGGCAUUAACUAAGCGCCUUAGUGUCUGCCGGCGGUGCCCGGUGGAGGUGCUGGCGGGACCGGGGGGUUUGCGCGUACAGGAGGAUGGGUUUGUGGUCAAGUGACACACGUGGAGGGAAGAGCAUCUCAGGCUGAGGUUUGAAACAGCUGGCAGGGAGACGGUGGGUCAGCGGAGCUGUCAGUGGGGGUACGCGGUGUUUGCUGUAAACCCAGCCCAUAAAAGCCACGAUUCAAACUUCGUUUUCAGGAUGAAGGCUGGCUCUGCCAAGCCACCGUGAACUGCAGGAGAGGCCUGACCUCAGCUCUGCUCUCUCUGGUGGGGAUAAACAGUCCUGGAGCACAUUGGAAGGAGAGGUGUGGACUCGGGUCUAACCUGCUGGUGUCCGCCAAAACAAGCUGCAAAUCCACAGAGGCAGGAAAAAUUCACAGAGGAGAAUUUCUGCUGGAUUUUUACCUCUCACCUCGCUUCAGCACUUUGUGAUGCUUCAAGUUUGCCAUGGAAAAAGAAGCAGCCCGGGUCCAUUGAAUCUCAAACCUUAUAUUAAGCAUUUAAUGUCUGGUCUCCAGGGCAGAGCCAUCUUCCAGGGCCAGGCUCAGCCCUCAGCCCUGCCCUGGUAGGACCGAGUGGUUGUGAGCGGCAUCUCCGGGGCCGGGAUGUCUCAGGCUGGAGGAGGGAUGUGUUCCCUCCCGCCUGGAGCGACGGGGAGGCCACAGCAACUCACUGAGCUCAGGGCACUGGCCAGAAAGGGCAAGGACCCGGUGCAGAAGAUGGAUGUUUAAUGUUGCAAAGGUUUCUGCAGGUUUGGGCUGUAAUUCUCAUAAUGCAAAAAUGCCUGAUUUCCGAGUUUGCUCUUAAAGAAAGUAGGGGGGUGGAGGCAUGACUGUUUCUGACAGAUUAUAGAUUAAUUUUUUAACUCUGUACCCAUAAAAUGUUGUCAUGCAAAAAAAAUCUGACCCCUACAGAAACUCAUUUCAAAAUGAAUAACUGCAGCAUUUUUUCUUUUCAGUCAUUGUCUAGAAGGGAUGUUUCAGUAUUGCUGGGACUUCCCUUUCCCACCUCUCUUCACCAGAGUGCAAUAUUCUGAUAUAAUUCUUGGGGCAUUUGGGCUCUGAUAACAUUUGCUUCCAAGCCUCCUGCCACCUCACAGAGCUACAUGAAGGUACGUAAGCUUUAUUCCUCCACUUUCUCUCUCCCAGGAGGAGGAUGGGAACUGGAAAAUUCCUCCAGUUCCUCACUGAAAGGGUUGAGGCGAUAGGGCUCUGCAGAAAACAUCUCUGGCAAUGGGCUCUCGCAGCAGUUUUAUCUGCUUGCUGGGCUGAAGAUCCUGACCGCAGCCAUCGCAGCAGAUGCUCUCUGGAAGCACUCUGAAAUUAAACCUCUUUCAAUAGCAAUAGCAGAACUGUUGGAAAAAGUUAUACAUCUAAACUAGCAAAGGUGUUAAUCUGUCUCAGGGGCAAAAAAAAAAAAAAAAAAAAAAAAUCCUGCGAAAUUUCUAGGGGCUUUGCUUGGUUUUCCUGCACCUGAACAGGCUCUUAGGCCUGUGCCCGUGCAUCGCUGCGUGGAGGAGAAGCCCUGGCACAGAGCGGCCACUUCUGCUAAUAACGGGAAAGUUGGUGUUUGGUCCUGCUGUCAACGGGCUUUAGCUUGGAGAGAAACCUUCACUAAUAGCUGAUUUGUAGCAUUUUUACAGCGAA